CAUGUGCGCGGUCAUUGGGACUCUUGAAACCUAAGGCGCAGUGAAAGUGAAGGCCGCCUCGCGCGGACCGAGGGAGGAUGGGUCGGUCUUCGGACCGGCCCCGCACUCCCGGGGCGUCUCGAUCUCGUUCGUCGAGAUGAGGCGCACCCAGAGCGUACACGCUGGGACCCGAAAGAUGGUGAACUAUGCCUGGUCAGGACGAAGUCAGGGGAAACCCUGAUGGAGGUCCGUAGCGAUUCUGACGUGCAAAUCGAUCGUCGGAACUGGGUAUAGGGGCGAAAGACUAAUCGAACCAUCUAGUAGCUGGUUCCCUCCGAAGUUUCCCUCAGGAUAGCUGGCGCUCGCCGCGUGCGAGUCUCAUCCGGUAAAGCGAAUGAUUAGAGGCAUUGGGGUCGAAACGGCCUCAACCUAUUCUCAAACUUUAAAUGGGUGAGAUCUCCGGCUUGCUCGAAAGAUGAAGCCGGAGAUUUUUCGGAUCAGAGUGCCAAGUGGGCCACUUUUGGUAAGCAGAACUGGCGCUGUGGGAUGAACCAAACGCCGAGUUAAAGCGCCCAAAUCGACGCUUAUGGGAUACCAUGAAAGGCGUUGGUAACUUAAGACAGCAGGACGGUGGCCAU
rnacentral:rRNA from 1 species